rnacentral:rRNA from 1 species
UACGGGGGGGGCAAGCGUUGUUCGGAAUUACUGGGCGUAAAGGGCGCGUAGGCGGUUCGAUAAGUCCUGUGUGAAAUCCCUCGGCUCAACUGAGGAACUGCACGGGAGACUGUCGGGCUUGAGUUCGGGAGAGGGAAGCGGAAUUCCGGGUGUAGCGGUGAAAUGCGUAGAGAUGUGGAGGAACACCAGUGGCGAAGGCGACUCUUUGGCCUGUAACUGACGCUGAGGCGCGAAAGCGUGGGGAGCAAACAGG